rnacentral:rRNA from 1 species
UACGGGGGGGGCAAGCGUUGUUCGGAAUUACUGGGCGUAAAGGGCUCGUAGGCGGCCAACUAAGUCAGACGUGAAAUCCCUCGGCUUAACCGGGACUGCGUCUGAUACUGGAUGGCUUGAAUCCGGGAGAGGGAUGUGGAAUUCCAGGUGUAGCGGUGAAAUGCGUAGAUAUCUGGAGGAACACCGGUGGCGAAGGCGACAUCCUCGGACCGGUAUUGACGCUGAGGCGCGAA